GGCCCGGUAGCUCAGUUGGUAGAGCAGAGGACUGAAAAUCCUUGUGUCGGUGGUUCGAUUCCGCCCCAGGCCA
rnacentral:tRNA from 1 species